rnacentral:misc_RNA from 1 species
GAUGAAGAACGCAGCGAAAUGCGAUAAGUAAUGUGAAUUGCAGAAUUCAGUGAAUCAUCGAAUCUUUGAACGCACAUUGCGCCCUAUGGUAUUCCGUAGGGCAUGCCUGUUCGAGCGUCAUUACAACCCUCAAGCUCUGCUUGGUAUUGGGCGUCGUCCCCUAAACGGACGUGCCUCAAAGACCUCGGCGGUGGCGUCUUUGCCUCAAGCGUAGUAAUAUUUUUAUCUCGCUUUGGAGUCGUAGGCGUCGCCCGCCGGACGAAACCUUUAUUUUUUCUAUCAAGGUUGACCUCGGAUCAGGUAGGGAUACCCGCUGAACUUAAGCAUAUCAAUAAGCGGAGGA